rnacentral:rRNA from 1 species
GAUGAACGCUGGCUACAGGCUUAACACAUGCAAGUCGAGGGGAAACGACGGGGAAGCUUGCUUCCCCGGGCGUCGACCGGCGCACGGGUGAGUAACGCGUAUCCAACCUGCCUCUGACUGAGGGAUAACCCGUCGAAAGUCGGCCUAAUACCUCAUGGUAUCGUCUGCGGGCAUCCAACGACGAUUAAAGAUUUCAUCGGUCAGGGAUGGGGAUGCGUCUGAUUAGCUUGUUGGUGGGGUAACGGCCCACCAAGGCUACGAUCAGUAGGGGUUCUGAGAGGAAGGUCCCCCACAUUGGAACUGAGACACGGUCCAAACUCCUACGGGAGGCAGCAGUGAGGAAUAUUGGUCAAUGGGCGAGAGCCUGAACCAGCCAAGUAGCGUGCGGGAAGACGGCCCUAUGGGUUGUAAACUGCUUUUAUGCGGGGAUAAAGUGAGGGACGUGUCCCUCAUUGCAGGUACCGCAUGAAUAAGGACCGGCUAAUUCCGUG